GCCGCCGGCUCCUCCCCGGCCCCGCCUCGCUCCCGCCGGCCCCGCGCCCGCUGCCUUUUCUUUGCCCUCCGCCACCCUUGGCGUUCUCCUCGCUUCUUCUGAUUAUUUUAUUUUUAUUAUUAUUAUUAUUAUUAUUAUUUAAUUUCCCAUCCAAGCCCCGCCCCGGGCCAGCAAAUAAAUCUAGCCGCGGCCCGCCGGACGCGCGGUCUCGAACCCGCGGCGGGGAAAUGCCAAGCUCGGUGCCAAGAGCGUGGCCUCCGUGCAGGGACCCUCCCCGGGCGAGGGAAGCUGGCGCUUGCCGCCCUGGCACGAGCUCCCCCCGCCGCCCCCCGCCCCCCCGCCCCGAGAUGCCUGCUGACCCUCCCAUUUAAAAGCGGAUGGCACUGAGUCCGCCCGGGAGGGUAAGGUGACCCGCACACGGUCCUACCGCAGCACUCAGUUUAGACUGGCACCGGGUGACUUCGACCGCUCACUGGAAAACGUGACGCCUGCCAGUGUCGGGCAACGUGUAACCUCUCCUGGCACCGAGACCGGCGCGAGGAGCGAGCUGGAAACCAAAAAAGCUUUAUGUGUGGCAACGCUGGGUGGAGGCGACCUGGGGCACUGGAGGAAAAGCGCCGGGACACAGCGUGCUGGGGUGCCAGCCAGCGGCAGGGAGGGUCCAGACUGAAGGGCAAAUUGCCACAAUGAGAAACUCCCAGGCAUCAGAGGUGUGUGUCUGUUCUCUGCGAAUCCCGAGUCUAAAGUUGUACCUGCUCCUUGCUCGCUGUCCCUUCGUCGAUGAGGGCUUGCAAGUUCUUCUAAUAGCCAUGUGUGACUAUGGCAGAAAACACCCACAUGAUAAAUCAAUGGAUUGAGAGGAUAAAGAAGUUGCAGUAUGCAUACUCAACGGAAUACAAUUUAGCUACCAAGAAAGAUGAAAUUUUUUCUACAACAACCCGGGCAAGUGCUUGAGCCCGCAAGUUCUCAUUAAGGUGUGACUCAAGAACACAGGGUUCAGUCGAAUGACCGAAUGACCGAAUGACCUCAGAACUCAGAAUGGGAAGAAUAGUGUCAAGAGCAUUGUCCAUUUCCUUCUGAAUCUGCCAUUCAUCGGUUUCUGCAACUGCAGCUGCAGUCGUUGAAAGGAGCUUUUGAGAUUUGCCUUUCCAAGAUCUACCUGGAAUGAAGUACAAAAGUGAUGUCUCGCGGGCAAGUCAUCUUUUUGUAACUUUGCCUUUGGGAAGCUGAAUUAAGCAGAGAACACCGCCCUUUUCAGAUACAGUUUGAGAUCAAACCAUCUCCAAGUGAAGUGUCACUGCUAAGCGGAAAUGUGCAACUGAGGGAAAUGUAAUUAACCAUGUGAGAUGAAAGACGGGUUCUGUUUCUAUUCUUCUACAUUAAACGAUAUCAGAAACCUCUGCUGUGAAGAAGGAAUCAGAGAGCAGGCAGCAAAAUAAAAGUCCUGUAAAGCAACUUAUUCAAAAGAAUAUUCACUGUAUCACUGUCAUCCCGUUGCUCAUCGAUUUGCUCAAGUGGGCACCAGUAACGUCUCCAUUGUGUGACUUGAGUCUCAUUUUAGAGACCCUCCCAGGCUGUGAAGUUCAGAAAUGUGCUCCAGCCAAUCAUUGUACCAGCUAAGAUGGAAAAACAGCCAGUGUCAGUGUAAUAUCGAAAGUGCCCAAGUUAUACAAAGUCCCAUAAAGAGUUCGUCUCCUUCUGGUGAAAGAAUAUUCUCUUUUUCAGAGAUCACCCCUUUGAAAUUUCACUUGUUCCUCAUCUGAACCAUAGAAUGUGCUGUCGAAAGAGUUCAUCUGUGGUAGGAAUUCAGCAACCUAAGUGGUGAAAACCAAGACUCUCCUGCUUGGAGCCAAGAGAAUCAGGAAUGAAGGACAAGAUGACUGAAAAUAACUCCAGGCUUAUUUCAAUACAUUUGCAUAGUGAAAAUAUCACACCCUUGCACCGGGGGAUGGUUUACAAUGGCUGUGACAGUCUCCUGGAACUGACCCAAUAUGGUGAGAAUCUGAACGGUUCCUGAAUCCAGGAAAUCUCCACCCCCAGGGCCCUGUUUCUGCCCUGAAAAGUUGCAAAUAUUCUGCCCCUUAAUUGAUUUGUCCAAUACCUAUAUUGACUAGCAAUCAAUAUAUGUAAAGUGAGGGCAACUCACUCUGGAGUUUGCCCACCCUCUGACACUUGGAGUUUGUAUUAUUACUUUCAAUAUCCCCUAAUAAACAUGUUCUGUUCUCUCUUA